GGAAUCUUCCGCAAUGGACGAAAGCCUGACGGAGCAACGCCGCGUGAGUGAUGAAGGCUUUCGGGUCGUAAAACUCUGUUGUUAGGGAAGAACAAGUAUGAGAGUAACUGCUCGUACCUUGACGGUACCUAACCAGAAAGCCACGGCUAACUACGUGCCAGCAGCCGCGGUAAUACGUAGGUGGCAAGCGUUAUCCGGAAUUAUUGGGCGUAAAGCGCGCGCAGGCGGUUUCUUAAGUCUGAUGUGAAAGCCCACGGCUCAACCGUGGAGGGUCAUUGGAAACUGGGGAACUUGAGUGCAGAAGAGAAAAGCGGAAUUCCACGUGUAGCGGUGAAAUGCGUAGAGAUGUGGAGGAACACCAGUGGCGAAGGCGGCUUUUUGGUCUGUAACUGACGCUGAGGCGCGAAAGCGUGGGGAGCAAACAGGAUUAGAUACCCUGGUAGUCCACGCCGUAAACGAUGAGUGCUAAGUGUUAGAGGGUUUCCGCCCUUUAGUGCUGCAGCUAACGCAUUAAGCACUCCGCCUGGGGAGUACGGUCGCAAGACUGAAACUCAAAGGAAUUGACGGAAGC
rnacentral:rRNA from 1 species